rnacentral:rRNA from 2 species
UGCAAGUCGAGCGGACAGAUGGGAGCUUGCUCCCUGAAGUCAGCGGCGGACGGGUGAGUAACACGUGGGCAACCUGCCUGUAAGACUGGGAUAACUCCGGGAACCGGGGCUAAUACCGGAUAAUUCUUUCAACCACAUGAGGCAAACAUAAAAGAUGGCUUCGGCUACCACUUACAGAUGGACCCGCGGCGCAUUAGCUAGUUGGUGAGGUAACGGCUCACCAAGGCAACGAUGCGUAGCCGACCUGAGAGGGUGAUCGGCCACACUGGGACUGAGACACGGCCCAGACUCCUACGGGAGGCAGCAGUAGGGAAUCUUCCGCAAUGGACGAAAGUCUGACGGAGCAACGCCGCGUGAGUGAUGAAGGCUUUCGGAUCGUAAAACUCUGUUGUUAGGGAAGAACAAGUACCGGAGAAAAGGCCGGUACCUUGACGGUACCUAACCAGAAAGCCACGGCUAACUACGUGCCAGCAGCCGCGGUAAUACGUAGGUGGCAAGCGUUGUCCGGAAUUAUUGGGCGUAAAGCGCGCGCAGGCGGUUCCUUAAGUCUGAUGUGAAAGCCCCCGGCUCAACCGGGGAGGGUCAUUGGAAACUGGGGAACUUGAGUGCAGAAGAGAAGAGUGGAAUUCCACGUGUAGCGGUGAAAUGCGUAGAGAUGUGGAGGAACACCAGUGGCGAAGGCGACUCUCUGGUCUGUAACUGACGCUGAGGCGCGAAAGCGUGGGGAGCAAACAGGAUUAGAUACCCUGGUAGUCCACGCCGUAUACGAUGAGUGCUAAGUGUUAGAGGGUUUCCGCCCUUUAGUGCUGCAGCAAACGCAUUAAGCACUCCGCCUGGGGAGUACGGGCGCAAGGCUGAA